AGAUUGAACGCUGGCGGCAUGCCUUACACAUGCAAGUCGAACGGCAGCACGGGAGCAAUCCUGGUGGCGAGUGGCGAACGGGUGAGUAAUAUAUCGGAACGUGCCCAGUCGUGGGGGAUAACGCAGCGAAAGCUGUGCUAAUACCGCAUACGAUCUAUGGAUGAAAGCGGGGGAUCGCAAGACCUCGCGCGAUUGGAGCGGCCGAUAUCAGAUUAGCUAGUUGGUGGGUAAAAGCCUACCAA
rnacentral:rRNA from 1 species